GUUAGUUUAAUUAAAUAAUAUAAGGUUGUCAAUCUUAAGUUUAAGCAUAUCCCUCAGAUAAGUC
rnacentral:tRNA from 1 species